rnacentral:rRNA from 1 species
UACGGAGGGUGCGAGCGUUGUCCGGAAUCAUUGGGCGUAAAGGGCGCGUAGGUGGCUUCUUAAGCGUGCGGUGAAAGCCUGGGGCUCAACCCCGGGUCGGCCGUGCGAACUGGGGGCUGGAGCACUGUAGAGGCAGGCGGGAAUUCCGGGUGUGAGCGGUGGAAUGCGUAGAGAGUCCGGAAGAACACCGGUGGCGAAGGCGGCCUGCUGGG